rnacentral:rRNA from 1 species
GGUUCGAUCCUGGCUCAGGAUUGAACGCUGGCGGGAUGCUUUACACAUGCAAGUCGAACGCAGCACGCGGACUUCGGUCUGUGGCGAGUGGCGAACGGGUGAGUAAUGUAUCGGAACGUGCCUAGUAGCGGGGAUAACUACGCCGAAAGGUGUAGCCAAUACCGCACAUGGCCCUUCGGGGAAAGCGGGGACCUUCGGGCCUCGCACUAUUAGAGCGGCCGAUAUCGGAUUAGCUACAGGCAACGGCUCACCUGUUGCGACGAUCCGUAGCUGGUUUGAGAGGACGACCAGCCACACUGGGACUGAGACACGGCCCAGGACUCCUACGGAGGCAGCAGUGGGGAAUUCCGACAAUGGGGAAACCCUGAUCCAGCCAUCCCGCGUGUGCGGGCGAAGGCCUUCGGGUUGUAAAGCACUUUUGGCAGGAAGAAAUGGCACGUGGACACACCCUUGCAACUGACGGUACCUGCAGAAUAAGCACCGCCAACUACGUGCCAGCAGCCGCGGUAAUACGUAGGGUGCAAGCGUUAAUCGGAAUUACUGGGCGUGAAGCGUGCGCAGGCGGUUCGGAAAGAAAGAUGGGAACUUGUGAGCGAACUUUGGAACUGCAUUUUUACUACCGAGCUAGAGUGUGUCAGAGGGAGGUGGAAUUCCGCGUGUAGCAGUGAAAUGCGUAGAUAUGCGGGAUACCGAUGGCGAAGGCAGGCCUCCUGGGAUAACACUGACGCUCAUGCACGAAAGUGGAGCAAACAGGAUUAGAUACCCUGGUAGUCCACGCCCUAAACGAUGUCAACUAGCUGUUGGGCCUUCGGGCCUGUAUAGCCAACGCGUGAAGUUGACCGCCUGGGGAGUACGGUCGCAAGAUUAAACUCAAAGGAAUUGACGGGGACCCGCACAAGCGGUGGAUGAUGCGGAUUAAUUGAUGCAACGCGAAAAACCUUACCUACCCUUGACAUGUCUGGAAUCCCGAAGGGAUUUGGGAGUGCUCGCAAGAGAACCGGAAACUGCUGCGGUGCUGCAUGGCUGUCGUCAGCUCGUGUCGAGAUGUUGGGUUAAGUCCCGCAACGAGCGCAACCCUCUUUGUCAUUAGUUGCUACGAAAGGGCACUCUAAUGAGAUCGCCGGUGACAAACCGAGGGAAGGGGAUGAUGUCAAGUCCUCAUGGCCCUUAUGGGUAGGGGCUUCACACGUCAUGCAAUGGUCGGGACAGAGGGUCGCCAACCCGCGAGGGGAGCCAAUCCCAGAAACCCGAUCGUAGUCCGGAUCGCAGUCUGCAACCUCGGACUGCGAAGUCGGAAUCGCUAGUAAUCGCGGAUCAGCAUGUCGCGUGAAUAUUGUUCCCUCGGGUCUUGUACACACUGCCCGUCACACCAUGGGAGUGGGUUUUACCAGAAGUGGUUAGCUCACCGUAAGGAGGGCGAUUACCACGGUAGGAUUCAUGACUGGGGUGAAGUCGUAACAAGGUAAA